GCAGCAGCCGCGGUAAUACGUAGGGGGCGAGCGUUGUUCGGAUUUACUGGGCGUAAAGAGCGCGUAGGCGGUUCGCUAAGUCGGAGGUGAAAGCCCUCGGCUCAACCGAGGAUCCGCGUCCGAUACUGGCGAACUUGAGUGCAGGAGAGGAGAGCGGAAUUCCGAGUGUAGCGGUGAAAUGCGUAGAUAUUCGGAGGAACACCGGUGGCGAAGGCGGCUCUCUGGACUGCUACUGACGCUGAGGCGCGAAAGCUAGGGGAGCAAACGGGAUUAGAUACCCCGGUAGUCCUAGCCGUAAACGAUGGGCACUAGGUGUGGGAGGUAUCGACCCCUUCCGUGCCGCAGCUAACGCAUUAAGUGCCCCGCCUGGGGAGUACGGCCGCAAGGUUGAAACUCAAAGGAAUUGACGGGGGCCCGCACAAGUG
rnacentral:rRNA from 1 species